rnacentral:sRNA from 1 species
GACUUCCUGUUGACCGCUCAGAGACUUCCUGUUGGCCACUCAGGGACUUCCUAUUGACCACCCAGGGACUUCCCAUUUGUUGUUGGAGGCCUGUUCUGAGCUGGGAGCUUGGUGUUGGUGCUAGUACAAGAGAGUGUAGCUAAGGGCUGGUUCUGCACCUCUCCCAACCCCACCCAGGACAGACGUGGUGGAGGGGAGGUGGUGGGGUGGCAGGCUCCAUGGAGGGUAGGGGGACAGACGUGGGAGAUGGGGGUGUAGUGUCCCCUGGGGGAUGCCUUGGCCUUCAGCAGCUCCAUGGGCCCCCCCUUAGGUGGGCUUCAGGUUCACCAAGGAGCUGGGGAGGUAGAAGAAGACAGAAGACGGCAGGGAAGUGCCAGCACAGGCCUGACCCGGGCCCAGGGCCCGGGAGGGGUCUGUUCUCUGGGCAGUGUCCCACACCCGCCAUCUCCCCUAGCACAAAAUCUACAGCCAGAGGCAAGUCCUUUGUGGCACAAGUUCCAGCCCCACUCAGGACUCUGCUGCAGAACUGAGCCUCUCACAUGCCUGCUCUCGGGUGCAGGCGAGGACCACAGGCUCCUAGGAUCUGGGAAUUUGGGAUGGGGCUUUCACACCGCCACUGUGGCUAUCAGGCUGCCUGAGUGAGGAUCCACCCCAGGGCCAUCUCACACUUGUCACGUGUGGUCUCAGGCCAUCUCUGCUGACUUCUUUUCUCUUCCCCUCCUCAUCAGGGACUGCCAGGGCCCAAAGGGGAACGAGGAGAGAAGGGCGAGCCGCAGUCCCUUGCCACCCUCUACCAGCUUGUGAGCCAGGCCUGUGAGUCUGCCAUUCAGAGUGAGUGAGGCCAGCAGCCCUGCACCUGUGCCCACCACACCUGUCUGUCCUCACAAUGGUCAGGCCGAGGGAGGCCGCCUUCACCCAUUGUUAGCACACCUGGGCCAGGUGUCCUGGCGUGGCCUGCACAGGCCUCGCAUCCCCGGGUCCCCACUGUGUCCUGCUGACACCCCUCCUCCCCACAGCUCACGUGUCAAAGUUCGACUCCUUCCACAAGAACACCAGGCCCCCCAUGCCCAUCUUGGAGCAGAAGCUGGAGCCGGGCACUGAGCCCCUGGGGUCCCCUGGCACCCGCAGCAAGGCCCUGGUUCCUGGAGAAUGGGGGCGUGGUGGCCGCCACCUUGAGGGCAGAGGGGAGCCUGGAGCUGUUGGUCAGACGGGCAGCCCUGGGCAGCAGGGGGCUAGCACCCAGGGCCUCUGGGAGUGACAGGACAUUUUCUGCACUGCCCCGAGGAACGCUGAGCCUUCCUCCCUGGGUUUCUCUGGACACCGAGAGCGACCACAUCCUGGAGAAGCCAGGAGAAAAGCUCAGGAAGAGCCUGCAGGUGGAAGGAGAGAGAAGCAGCGGCCUCGGCCAAGGCCCACCCCAUGCUCUUGGCUCUGUAGCAUUUCCAAGUUCAGAUAAACCCCUGAGUGCUCACCCA